rnacentral:tRNA from 1 species
GCCAUGGUUCAGUGGUAGAGCAUCUAUUUGACAUACAGAAGGUCCCAGGUUCAAUCACAGGUAUCGGCA